GACGAACGCUGGCGGCGUGCUUAACACAUGCAAGUCGAACGGAAAGGCCCUGCUUUUGUGGGGUGCUCGAGUGGCGAACGGGUGAGUAACACGUGAGUAACCUGCCCUUGACUUUGGGAUAACUUCAGGAAACUGGGGCUAAUACCGGAUAGGAGCUCCUGCUGCAUGGUGGGGGUUGGAAAGUUUCGGCGGUUGGGGAUGGACUCGCGGCUUAUCAGCUUGUUGGUGGGGUAGUGGCUUACCAAGGCUUUGACGGGUAGCCGGCCUGAGAGGGUGACCGGCCACAUUGGGACUGAGGUACGGCCCAGACUCCUACGGGAGGAAGCAGUGGGGAAUAUUGCACAAUGGGCGGAAGCCUGAUGCAGCAACGCCGCGUGCGGGAUGACGGCCUUCGGGUUGUAAACCGCUUUCGCCUGUGACGAAGCGUGAGUGACGGUAAUGGGUAAAGAAGCACCGGCUAACUACGU
rnacentral:rRNA from 1 species